UACAGAGGUCCCAAGCGUUGUUCGGAUUCAUUGGGCGUAAAGGGUGUGUAGGUGGCGCGCUAAGUCGGGUGUGAAAUUUCGGAGCUUAACUCCGAAACUGCAUUCGAUACUGCGGUGCUUGAGGACUGGAGAGGAGACUGGAAUUUACGGUGUAGCAGUGAAAUGCGUAGAGAUCGUAAGGAAGACCAGUGGCGAAGGCGGGUCUCUGGACAGUUCCUGACACUGAGGCACGAAGGCCAGGGGAGCAAACGGG
rnacentral:rRNA from 1 species